rnacentral:rRNA from 1 species
UGCAGUCGAGGGGUAACAUGAGAGCUUGCUCUUGAUGACGACCGGCGCACGGGUGCGUAACGCGUAUGCAACCUACCCACAACUGGAGCAUAGCCCGGAGAAAUCCGGAUUAAUACUCCAUAAUGCAGGGGUACCUCCUGGUACUAUUUGCUAAAGAUUUAUCGGUUGUGGAUGGGCAUGCGUCUGAUUAGUUUGUUGGUGAGGUAACGGCUCACCAAGACCACGAUCAGUAGGGGGUCUGAGAGGAUGAUCCCCCACACUGGCACUGAGAUACGGGCCAGACUCCUACGGGAGGCAGCAGUAGGGAAUAUUGGGCAAUGGGCGAAAGCCUGACCCAGCCAUGCCGCGUGAAGGAUGAAGGCCUUCUGGGUUGUAAACUUCUUUUAUAUAGGAAGAAAAAGGUCAUGCGUGACCAAUUGACGGUACUAUAUGAAUAAGCACCGGCUAACUCCGUGCCAGCAGCCGCGGUAAUACGGAGGGUGCAAGCGUUGUCCGGAUUUAUUGGGUUUAAAGGGUGCGUAGGCGGUCUGUUAAGUCAGUGGUGAAAUCCCUCAGCUCAACUGAGGAACUGCCAUUGAUACUGACAGACUUGAGUACGGACGAGGUAGGCGGAAUUUAUGGUGUAGCGGUGAAAUGCAUAGAUACCAUAAAGAACACCGAUAGCGAAGGCAGCUUACUAGACCGUAACUGACGCUCAGGCACGAAAGCGUGGGGAGCGAACAGGAUUAGAUACCCUGGUAGUCCACGCCGUAAACGAUGAUCACUCGAUGUGUGCAAUACUGCAGUCGAGUCCAAG